CCCGGGGGUGAGGGAAAGGGGGGUUAAGCGAGCAGGGAAAAAGGAAUUCCCGGUUAGCGGGAAAAGGGAAAAUUGGGAGGACCCCGGUGGGGAGGGGGUUUUUGGGCCUGUAAUGACGGGAGGAGCGAAAGCGUGGGAGGAAAAGGAUUAGAUACCUUGUAGUCCACGCCGUAACGUUGGGCGCUAGGUGUGGUCCCUUCCACGGGGUCUGUGCGGCAGNUAACGCAUUAAGCGCCCCGCCUGGGGAGUACGGCCGCAAGGCUAAAACUCAAAGAAAUUGACGGGGGCCCGCACAAGCGGCGGAGCAUGUUGCUUAAUUCGACGCAACGCGAAGAACCUUACCAAGGUUUGACAUGGACGGAAAUCCUCCAGAGAUGGGGGGUCCUUCGGGGCCGUCCACAGGUGGUGCAUGGCUGUCGUCAGCUCGUGUCGUGAGAUGUUGGGUUAAGUCCCGCAACGAGCGCAACCCUCGUCCAAUGUUGCCAGCGGGUAAUGCCGGGGACUCAUUGGAGACUGCCGGGGUCAACCCGGAGGAAGGUGGGGAUGACGUCAAGUCAUCAUGCCCCUUAUGUCUUGGGCUGCAAACAUGCUACAAUGGCCGGUACAAAGCGCUGCGACACCGUGAGGUGAAGCGAAUCGCAUAAAGCCGGUCUCAGUUCGGAUCGGGGUCUGCAACUCGGCCCCGUGAAGCCGGAGUCGCUAGUAAUCGCGGAUCAGCAACGCCGCGGUGAAUACGUUCCCGGGCCUUGUACACACCGCCCGUCACGUCACGAAAGUUGGCAACACCCGAAGCCGGCGGCCUAACCCGUAAGGGAGGGAGCUGUCGAAGGUGGGGUUGGCGAUUGGGACGAAGUCA
rnacentral:rRNA from 1 species